GACGAGGGGUCCUAGCGUUGUUCGGAAUUACUGGGCGUAAAGCGCACGUAGGCGGCUUCUUAAGCCAGGGGUGAAAUCCUGGAGCUCAACUCCAGAACUGCCUUUGAUACUGAGGAUCUUGAGUCCGGGAGAGGUGAGUGGAACUGCGAGUGUAGAGGUGAAAUUCGUAGAUAUUCGCAGGAACACCAGUGGCGAAGGCGGCUCACUGGCCCGGUACUGACGCUGAGGCACGAAAGCGUGGGGAGCAAACAGG
rnacentral:rRNA from 1 species